CUAAGAAUAUUCCGCAAUGGACGAAAGUCUGACGGAGCGACGCCGCGUGGAUGAAGAAGGCCGCAAGGUUGUAAAAUCCUUUUGCUGGGGAAGAAUAAGCGCAGGAGGGAAUUCCUGCGUGAUGACAUGAACCGGCGAAUAAGCCCCGGCCAACUACGUGCCAGCAGCCGCGGUAACACGUAGGGGGCAAGCGUUGUUCGGAAUUACUGGGCGUAAAGGGCAUGUAGGCGGUUUAGUAAGCUUGGCGUGAAAGACCACGGCUUAACUGUGGGGUUGCGUUGAGAUCUGCUGAACUUUAGUUACGGAGAGGGAGCUAGAAUUCCUGGUGUAGGGGUGGAAUCUGUAGAGAUCAGGAAGAAUACCGAUUGCGAAGGCAAGCUGCUGGCCGAUAACUGACGCUGAGGUGCGAAAGUGUAGGGAUCAAACA
rnacentral:rRNA from 1 species